GGAGAGUUCGGAAAAAGACGGAUUUUUCUCGAACCAAGAGUCUCGAGAAAAAGAAAAUGGCGGAGAAGUGAAAUCAGCUGAAAUGACGGGAAAUAAGGAAACCUCAAUACGAGAAAAUGGCGCUAAAUGGGGAAACCAAUAUUUGAAUAGAUGAAAUGAAAACUAUUAAAAUACCUUAAUUUAAAUUCAGCUAAUAAGACUAAUAAAAGCUUAAGACUAAUAAAAACUAAAGUUUUUGUAUACAUCAUAAAGAUAAGCGAAAAAGAAGAAUUUUUUAAAAUUUGAAUUGUUGAAAAAAUUUGAAGAUUUGGAUCCGGGUCCAUUUUUUUCAGGGUGGAUCAGGGUCCAUUUUUUUCUGGCGGGAUCCGGAUCAAAAUUAAAUGGAUCCUAUUCAUAAAUACUAAUUUGAAGAAACAAAUUUAGAUAAAUCUGUAAUAUUUUAA